UGGGGAAUAUUGGACAAUGGGCGAAAGCCUGAUCCAGCCAUGCCGCGUGUGUGAAGAAGGUCUUCGGAUUGUAAAGCACUUUAAGUUGGGAGGAAGGGCAUUAACCUAAUACGUUAGUGUUUUGACGUUACCGACAGAAUAAGCACCGGCUAACUCUGUGCCAGCAGCCGCGGUAAUACAGAGGGUGCAAGCGUUAAUCGGAAUUACUGGGCGUAAAGCGCGCGUAGGUGGUUUGUUAAGUUGGAUGUGAAAUCCCCGGGCUCAACCUGGGAACUGCAUUCAAAACUGACUGACUAGAGUAUGGUAGAGGGUGGUGGAAUUUCCUGUGUAGCGGUGAAAUGCGUAGAUAUAGGAAGGAACACCAGUGGCGAAGGCGACCACCUGGACUAAUACUGACACUGAGGUGCGAAAGCGUGGGAGCAAACA
rnacentral:rRNA from 1 species